AUUGAACGCUGGCGGCAUGCCUUACACAUGCAAGUCGAACGGCAGCACGGGAGCAAUCCUGGUGGCGAGUGGCGAACGGGUGAGUAAUAUAUCGGAACGUGCCCAGUAGUGGGGGAUAGCCCGGCGAAAGCCGGAUUAAUACCGCAUGAGACCUGAGGGUGAAAGCGGGGGAUCGCAAGACCUCGCGCUAUUGGAGCGGCCGAUAUCAGAUUAGCUAGUUGGUGGGGUAAAGGCCUACCAAGGCAACGAUCUGUAGUUGGUCUGAGAGGACGACCAGCCACACUGGGACUGAGACACGGCCCAGACUCCUACGGGAGGCAGCAGUGGGGAAUUUUGGGACAAUGGGCGCAAGCCUGAUCCAGCAAUGCCGCGUGCAGGAAGAAGGCC
rnacentral:rRNA from 1 species